CCUAAUACAUGCAAGUUCGAGCGAAUGGAUUAAGAGCUUGCUCUUAUGAAGUUAGCGGCGGACGGGUGAGUAACACGUGGGUAACCUGCCCAUAAGACUGGGAUAACUCCGGGAAACCGGGGCUAAUACCGGAUAACAUUUUGAACCGCAUGGUUCGAAAUUGAAAGGCGGCUUCGGCUGUCACUUAUGGAUGGACCCGCGUCGCAUUAGCUAGUUGGUGAGGUAACGGCUCACCAAGGCAACGAUGCGUAGCCGACCUGAGAGGGUGAUCGGCCACACUGGGACUGAGACACGGCCCAGACUCCUACGGGAGGCAGCAGUAGGGAAUCUUCCGCAAUGGACGAAAGUCUGACGGAGCAACGCCGCGUGAGUGAUGAAGGCUUUCGGGUCGUAAAACUCUGUUGUUAGGGAAGAACAAGUGCUAGUUGAAUAAGCUGGCACCUUGACGGUACCUAACCAGAAAGCCACGGCUAACUACGUGCCAGCAGCCGCGGUAAUACGUAGGUGGCAAGCGUUAUCCGGAAUUAUUGGGCGUAAAGCGCGCGCAGGUGGUUUCUUAAGUCUGAUGUGAAAGCCCACGGCUCAACCGUGGAGGGUCAUUGGAAACUGGGAGACUUGAGUGCAGAAGAGGAAAGUGGAAUUCCAUGUGUAGCGGUGAAAUGCGUAGAGAUAUGGGAGGAACACCAGUGGCGAAAGGCGGACUUUUCUGGGUCUUGUAACUGACCCUGA
rnacentral:rRNA from 1 species